rnacentral:rRNA from 1 species
UACCAUGCUAAAUAUACCGGUUCUCGUUAGAUCACCGAAGUCAAGCAUCAUUGGGCGUGGUCAGUACUUGUGUGAGUGACCACCGGGAAACACCGCGUGCCGUU